AGGCCUGAAGAGAGAGGCAGGGUUUGAUCUGCAGCCUCCGUGGCAGCUGUUGAUCAGCUGUUUCCUCUCUCUUUCUCUCUG
rfam:Myotis brandtii contig281120, whole genome shotgun sequence.